GACGAACGCUGGCGGCGUGCCUAAUACAUGCAAGUAGAACGCUGAAGGAGGAGCUUGCUUCUCUGGAUGAGUUGCGAACGGGUGAGUAACGCGUAGGUAACCUGCCUGGUAGCGGGGGAUAACUAUUGGAAACGAUAGCUAAUACCGCAUAAGAGUAGAUGUUGCAUGACAUUUGCUUAAAAGGUGCAAUUGCAUCGCUACCAGAUGGACCUGCGUUGUAUUAGCUAGUUGGUGAGGUAACGGCUCACCAAGGCGACGAUACAUAGCCGACCUGAGAGGGUGAUCGGCCACACUGGGACUGAGACACGGCCCAGACUCCUACGGGAGGCAGCAGUAGGGAAUCUUCGGCAAUGGACGGAAGUCUGACCGAGCAACGCCGCGUGAGUGAAGAAGGUUUUCGGAUCGUAAAGCUCUGUUGUAAGAGAAGAACGAGUGUGAGAGUGGAAAGUUCACACUGUGACGGUAUCUUACCAGAAAGGGACGGCUAACUACGUGCCAGCAGCCGCGGUAAUACGUAGGUCCCGAGCGUUGUCCGGAUUUAUUGGGCGUAAAGCGAGCGCAGGCGGUUAGAUAAGUCUGAAGUUAAAGGCUGUGGCUUAACCAUAGUACGCUUUGGAAACUGUUUAACUUGAGUGCAAGAGGGGAGAGUGGAAUUCCAUGUGUAGCGGUGAAAUGCGUAGAUAUAUGGAGGAACACCGGUGGCGAAAGCGGCUCUCUGGCUUGUAACUGACGCUGAGGCUCGAAAGCGUGGGGAGCAAACAGG
rnacentral:rRNA from 1 species